GGUAGUAGAUCCUUAUAGGAGUUCCCUAACACCUAAAAUGGUGGAGUGUUUGGUCUGCUCAAGUGAUUGGCUGAGGGCUACACAAACUAACUUCUACAAGGAACCAACUGUGAGUGAGCUGGAGAUGUAUCGAGAGCUUGAAGCAAUGGAAAGAGAAACUGCUGGACUAAGAUUGGAUGAACCAAGCUCUUCUACGACCACUGCUGCAACAUAAAGAAGGCUGCUGCAUCAAGUUUCCAAUACAAAGUAUGUAAUAUAAAUGUUCUGAAACUGUGUAGCAGCAGCAAAGUAAUG